GAGAGACGGCGGCGGCGGCGGCGGCGGCGUGACGUCACUGGGGGGACACCGGGGAGCCCGGAGUGACGUCAUGCCGACCGUGCUGGGCCUGGAGGGCUCCGCCAACAAGGUGGGCGCGGGGGUGGUGCGGGACGGCGUCGUCCUCAGCAACCGCCGCGCCACCUACGUCACGCCGCCGGGACAGGGCUUCGCCCCCGGCCCCACCGGGCGGCACCACCGGGCCGUGCUGCUGGGCCUGGUCCAGGCCGCGCUGCGCGAGGCGGGCGUCGGGCCCCGCGACCUCGACGGGGUCGCCUUCACCAAGGGCCCGGGCAUGGGCUCCCCCCUGGCCGUGGUAGCGGCCGUGGCGCGGACGCUGGCGCAGCUCUGGGGGCGCCCCCUGCUGGCCGUCAAUCACUGCGUGGGGCACAUCGAGAUGGGGCGGCUGCUCGGCCCCGCCCCCGACCCGCUGGUGCUCUACGUCAGCGGCGGCAACACCCAGGUGAUCGCGUACUCCCGGCACCGGUACCGGAUCCUGGGCGAGACCCUGGACGUGGCCGUGGGGAACUGCAUUGACCGCCUGGCCCGGCUGCUGCAGAUCCCAAACGCCCCCAGCCCCGGCUACAACGUGGAGCAGCUGGCCAAGAGGGGCCGCCGGCUGAUCCCGCUGCCCUACGUGGUCAAGGGUCUCGACGUCUCCUUCUCGGGGCUCCUGUCCCACCUCCAGGCUGUGACCCCCAAAGUGCUGGGGGCGGGGGAGGCGACGCCGGAGGAUUUGUGCUUCUCCCUGCAGGAGACGGCGUUCGCGAUGCUGGCCGAGGUCACCGAGCGCGCGCUGGCGCUGACGCGGGCGCAGCACCUGCUGCUCGUGGGGGGCGUGGCCUGUAACCGCCGGCUGCAGGAGAUGCUGCAGACAAUGUGCAGGGCCCGGGGGGCUGAGCUGUGCCCCACAGACGAGAGGUACUGCAUCGACAACGGCGCCAUGAUCGCCCAGGCCGGGUGGGAGAUGCUGAGAGUGGGGCAGGUGACGGAGCUCAGCCAAUCAGGGAUCACGCAGAGGUACCGGACGGAUGAGGUAGAGGUGACCUGGAGGGACUGAGGCGGAGCCGCCGGCGGGAAUCUGCUUCAGGAGGAUCUCCGCUGUAUUCUUUCCUUCCUUUUCUGCUGUUUUUUUUUUGUUGUUGUUUUUUUUUUUAAUCGUAUUUGCUUAACCUGAAAAUUCUUUACCUCAUUUUCCCUCACGAUUUGCCCUCCCCACCACGUGUCUCCCCAUGCUCCCCUGAAGGAAGGAGCCGCUUGCCGGAAACGGCGCCCCGCGGAUUUCGGUGCUGUAAAACUACAAUUUCAGAUCUUUAAUUUCCGUUUUUAAGAUUAGUUUUCCGCUUCAAAGAACUGUUCCUGCAUUUUCAAUUAGUAUUUUGGGUUUUUUUUAAGAGUUUUUGGAGACUUUUUUGCGGAAUUCGAGGCGAUUUAGCCUCAGAGUUCCACCCUCAGGAUUUGGACCCUCCCCACGUGUUUUGCCUCCUCUUUAACGUUACCUAAAUCAGAAUAUACAUUAAAAUGAAAAACCACAAAACUUUUUUCGCGAGAUUUACCUCCUAAUUAUUUUUUAUCGAUUUUACUUUUUUUGGCCCAUUUUUCCUCCGUCUUUCCCUGAGGCGCUGCCCGCGCCGGGAAAACCGCGCCACCAAAAUGUCCAAUUCUUAUCCCUUUAUUUUCUAUUUUUAUUUUUCCAUUUCCCAGAUUCCACCGCUGUUAGUGGGGGGGAUUUGGGCUUCAACUCUUUAUUUUCUAUUUUGCCGGGGUUUUUUUUUCCCAGAUAAAUUGUUGUCCUGAUGUUAUGAAUAUGUUUCUUUUAUGGAUCGCUGGAGUAAAUCCUGCUUCGCUGUGGAAUUAACCGCGGGUUUGGCGAGGGGA